UCUUUUCUUUCAAAAACAAGGACAUUUCUGAGUGACCCCAAACUUUUGAACAGUAGUAUAUUAUUUUCACAAAUUUGUGUGCUGCACUUAUGCUGAUUUUGAAUUUGUGGCUGUGAGAUCAAACCUUGUGGCUCUGGAAUCUAGUGGAAUCCAAUGUAUUUGCCUGGAAACACUGGUCAAAUCUCUGUUGUGUGCUUUGCUUUUACUGUUAACACUUAUUAGUGGAUUUGAAGCUAAUCAUCUGUACCUAUGGGCAACUUCUACCAGGAACUUGCUGUAUGACCUCUUUUGCAAAGCCAGGCUUUAGAAAGCAUAAUGUUUUUGUUGGUUGUUGUUGUUAAUGUUUACAUUUAGAUGUUAGUCAUUUAGCAGAUGUUCUUACCCUGAGUCAAAUUGUUUUUGCUGUUGCUGCUACUGCAUUCCUUCAUUCCCCUGUCCUAGUCUCCUCUCAGCCUUUCUAACCUGCUUGCAGAAAGUGUCCUACUUGAAUCUCUGUUUCUCUUGCUUUACCAAAGUAAUUAUUUCUUUUGCAGUGGUGUAUACCAUACUGUAUAAAGCAACUGAGCGAGUCACGUUGUAACCAUAGAGAUGGAAAGAGGUCUUGGUUGUAUAUAUGUGCCAUUAAGAUGGAAAGCAGUGUCAUCUGUGCCAUUAUAAUGUCUCAUCCAGCGUGGGUGGAGCCAUUGAGGACAUCUUUGUUAAUGAAUAUUGACGUGGUUAAUGAAUAUUGAAUUGGCUGAUCUCUGCCUAUGACUCAGUUGGAUUGUGGUCAUAUGAUCAACUGGGUCAUCGGCAGGAACAAACCAAUAAUGUUGUAAAUCCCACCCACUUGACUACAUUUAAAUAGCUGAUGCCUUCCCGUGGCGAUGUUCAUGCUGGAAUGUUUUAUAUUGUGUCGUCUAUGGCUGUAACCAAGGUCUUUACAGGGAGAUUGUGCUUACACAUCACUCCUUUCUUGUAUUCACUAGGUUCUUUCAGCUGUGGCUUGUAACUACAACCCUCUGUCUUAACAUUAUCAUUAGGGGGAUGAACAUAAUCAUUGGUUAAACUCAACCUCUGUGCCCACAGAUAUUCAGUUAGGAGGAAAAACAUCGAACUUCAUAUCAGUGGCAGCUCUGAAACCAUGUCCUGCAUGCACAGUACGUUUACGUCUCUGUGACGGACUGCAUGCCCCCAGUUCAACCACUACUGAUGAGUAUUUGUAUUUCGUUUGUUUCGCACUAUCGAAGCAUGUACAGUCUGCUGUAGUCCCUGACGCUGCCAGUACACCACAAAACAAGGUGCUCAAAUGAACACAUCUACACGCUACACUCCUUUCUGUGGCUUAUGUGGUUUUUCCUUAAAAAACAAAAAACGGAACUCAUUCCAAAAUUUGUGAUUCAAUGAAUGAAUGUUACAUCUAUUUGAAGACAUGGACAUUUUCUGUGUAAAUUUGUUUUUCAUUCAGUUUUAUUACUUUGAGAGAUUAUUAAAAAAAAGUGACAUGUGAAGAGCUUGGAGGGAAGACCAUAAUAUACUUUAAAUAAUGAAUAUAGAGAUUUUAGAAAGGCGUUUUAGUUUUCCUAUUGUUCAAAUUGUUGAUGAUUCAACUCAGUCAACUAGCUAUGUUUUCCCUCAAAGGCAAACCGUUAGAGGUAGGCUAUACCUGCACUGGAUUUAUGAGAGCAUUUCUUAUUUGUGUCUUUCUAUUUUCUUGUUUGCACACAGAGAAAACGAAUAUGAUGCUGAUGAGGUUUCAAAUACUCUUAAUGUCUAACGUCUUAAGAUAUAAACACUGUCCGUAUACCUCAUGUGUGGAUGACACGUCUCUUGUGUGAGAAAACGUGUUUGGCCAUUCAACCAAAUUAAAAAUACAUGUAUUUUUGUGUUCUAACAACUUGGAUGUGUUAUGGAUAAAACAUAAUUAGCUGUCCACUUUUUGGGGUCAAAGAAAAAUGUAAUUUUGUGUUGGCUGCAUAUCAGUGAAUCACUUAUUUGUAACUUUCACUCAUGUUACGGACAUCAAAUGUCAUUAAAAUAAUGUAAAGAA